rnacentral:rRNA from 1 species
ACGUACACUCCUGCGGAGGCAGCAGUGGGGAAUAUUGGACAAUGGGCGCAAGCCUGAUCCAGCCAUGCCGCGUGAGUGAUGAAGGCCCUAGGGUUGUAAAGCUCUUUCACCGGUGAAGAUAAUGACGGUAACCGGAGAAGAAGCCCCGGCUAACUUCGUGCCAGCAGCCGCGGUAAUACGAAGGGGGCUAGCGUUGUUCGGAUUUACUGGGCGUAAAGCGCACGUAGGCGGACUAUUAAGUCAGGGAUGAAAUCCCGGGGCUCAACCCCGGAACUGCCUUUGAUACUGGUAGUCUUGAGUUCGAGAGAGGUGAGUGGAAUUCCGAGUGUAGAGGUGAAAUUCGUAGAUAUUCGGAGGAACACCAGUGGCGAAGGCGGCUCACUGGCUCGAUACUGACGCUGAGGUGCGAAAGCGUGGGGAGCAAACAGGAUUAGAUACCCCAGUAGUCCCAUGAU